ensembl:misc_RNA Metazoa_SRP Metazoan signal recognition particle RNA
GCUGGGUGUGGUGACACACACCUGUAAUCCCAGCUACUCGGGAGGCUGAGGCAGGAGAAUCACUUGAACCCGGGAGGUGGAGGUUGCAGUGAGCCAAGAUCGUGCCACUGCACUCCAGCCUGGGUGACAGAGUGAGAUUCUGUCUCAA